UUUGAUCUCUCCAUAUUCUGUUUUGAUUUUGAUCGAUCUGUGUUUCUAUUGUUUAAAUCUGUUAGAUCUAAGUGUUUUGAUCACGAAUCUGUUGAAGUCUCUUCAUAUACUCUUUGAUUUCGUGUUGAUCUGUGUUCCUUGUGAAGAAAUCUAUCGAAUUUGGCUUAAUUAGAUCUUGUUUUGGGUAUUAGACUGUUCGGAUCCUUGUUCAUCAAGUUAUCCGAUUGCUUGAUCUGAAUCUGUUUGUUGAUUGCAGUCGAUCUGUUCUUAUUGUUUUAGAUCUGUUCUUGCUUGAUCUAAAUCUCAUCAUCUGUUAUCAUAUCAUCUCUGAUCGUGUGUUGAUUGAUAUUUUGAAACCUAAUCCGUGUAGUGCAAGUUUGAUUGAUUUCGUUUUGAUAUUUUUGUUUUGAAAAAUCUGUGCUUGAAUCUGAAAUCGAAAUCUAUCUCUCCAUUUUUUUUGUUCUAGUUUCGAAAUCAAUCUGAUCUGAUAGGCUUAAGAUUUCAAUUCUGUUCUGAUUAGUUUUGAUCUCUUUUAAAUCAUUGGUUGAGUUUGAAUUUGUUCUGAGAAUUGUCUAAAGUUUUAAGCUUCAAUUUGAAUCUCUGAUUUUGCAAAUUGGUUGUUUGUUUUCUCUGUAGAACUAUUUACUGGCUUAGUCUUUCUCUUGUCUCAGGUACCAUGGCAGGAGAUCAAAAAGGAGAACUCAGCAAGAAAGAAAAGCUUUUUCUUGAAGAAUUCACAGCCAGUCUG
rnacentral:lncRNA from 1 species